GUUCCCUGCCCACAAUGAGCUUACAGUCUAGAGGGCUGACUUAUGAAGUCAUUGAAUGACCUGCAGACUGUAAGCUCCCUCUAGACUGUAAGCUCACUGUGGGCAGGGAAU
rnacentral:pre_miRNA from 1 species